rnacentral:lncRNA from 1 species
AGGCAGGCACCCCCACGCCUGGCUAAUUUUUGUAUUUUUAGUAGAGAUGGGGUUUCCACCAUGUUGGCCAGGCUGGUCUUGAGCCCCUGACCUCAAAUGAUCCACCCGUCUCAGCCUCCCAAAGUGUUGGGAUUACAGGCAUGAGCCACUGUGCCUGGCCUCCAUUUGGUUCUUUUUUAUGUCUCCUGUUUCUUUGCUGAGACCCACGACUUUCUGUUCCUUUGCUGAGACUUUCUAUUUUUGUGUGUUUUUUUCAAGGGUUUGUAGUUGCUCAUUGAAGCAUUUUCAUGAUGGCUGCUUUGAAAUUCUUGUCAGACAAUUCUAAUAUCCAUGUCACCUAGGCACUGGUGUCUGUUGAUUAUUUUUCCUAAUUCAAUUUGAGGUUUUCUUGGUUCUUGGUUUGAUGAGUCAUUUUCAACGGAAACCUCAACAUUUUGAGUUUCUGUUGUGAGACCUUGGAGCUUCUUUAAAUCUGAUUUAGCAGAGGCCUCCUCUGACUUGCUCUAGGGAAAGGGGCUGCUACUUUGUUCCUGUCAGGUAUCUUCUAGGUCCUUCAUGGGGACCAGGCACUAGUUGAGGCCAAAGAGGAGACAAAGACUGACUCUGACUUCAGGAGCUCACAGUUUUGCGGGAACACAGGACUUUGCCCCAGGUAAGCUUGGAUAGUGAAGAAUAAGAUGCUAUAGAGGAAGGAAUUACUUGAAUGGCCUGGUUGGGGAGAGCUUCCUGGGAGGGUGAAAGUGGAGAUAGAGUAUUUUGGUAAAUUUUAGAGAGGAGCUGCAGGAAGUACAGGUGCCAGGAGAGGAGCAGAGGUCCAGAGGGGUAAGUAGGGAUGGCAGGAGGCAGCAGGGAGAGAGCUUGCCUGGUUGGGCCCUCAGGUGAAGCGAAUGAGCCUGAAGGACACCAUGCACAGGGGCUUGACAGUAGUAUCUUCAGAACAGGAAUCUGGGGAUCAACUGUGACAUGGCAAUUGUGUGGGUGAGCAAAGAUGGUGGCCUGGCCAGUGCAGUGGCUAUGGGGUGGAGAGGAGAGAACAGGAUCAAGAGGCAUUUAGAAGGUAGAACUGAUGGGUGUCUGGAUUGAUCUGGGGAAGAAAGAGAGAGGAAUUAGAUAUGAGGCUGAGAUUUCCAGCUGAGGUCUCUGGGGAAGAAUGGUGCCAUAAACACGCAGAGAGAGAAGACAGAGAGGGGAACCAAUCUUUGGAAUAAGAGGAUGAGAUUUUGGCCACUGGUACCCAGAGGCCCUUCUUCAGAGAAUGAUGCAAUGAGACCGAGGUGAAUAUUUUCUCUGAGCACUGAAGUUUCAGAUCAAAUAAGCAACAGAUUUCUGCUCUGUGAAAGCCCUGUAGUCGAAAGGCAGUACAUUGCAAAUUUCAAAGAAUAAGGCACUAUCCUCUACUUUUGAGAGAAAGAAAUGGAAGUCACACGCCAAAAAGUUGAAGUCUCUCCUAGACUCAGAUGUCCUCAGUCUUCAUCACUCUCUCUGGGUCUGAUGGUCAGGAGGCCUAAUGCUCAAGCUGUAAGGCGAGGCUCCUUAGAACCACUUGAGUCACCUGUCCGAAGCUGAAUUGCAUGAUGGCUUCAUUCAGAGCCACCCAAAUCAUUCUGGCCAAUCACGGGCAACUGUGGAUGGUUCAAUGGCACCUUCCUUUCAGAGAAUAGAAGUCCCAGGAGGGCAGGGGUCUUUGUCUGAUUUGUUCACUGAAGAAUCCCAGGUGUCUAAUAGGCUGCUGGUAUAUAGUAGAUGCUAAAUAAAUACUGGUUAAAUAAAUGAAGGAUUGCAAUGGGUUUGGGGGAAGUCUGAGGCCAGGGUUAGGGGUCACACCAAGGUCAGGUUUUUAAAGUAUAGGAUCCCAUUUUUGGUACUGAAACGUGGUUGGGGUAUUUAGGGGUCUGCCUAUUGGGACAAAGGUUUCUUGGAGGACAUCGCACACCUCUCAACCUGAGGACUCCUUAUGGGCUCAGGGGAGCAGCUACUGGCUGAGAUUUUU